UAUUGUUGCCUGUACAUUUUUCAUAAUA
rnacentral:sRNA from 1 species